AGUGAACGCUGGCGGUAGGCCUAACACAUGCAAGUCGAACGGCAGCACAGUAAGAGCUUGCUCUUACGGGUGGCGAGUGGCGGGCGGGUGAGGAAUACAUCGGAAUCUACUUUUUCGUGGGGGAUAACGUAGGGAAACUUACGCUAAUACCGCAUACGACCUACGGGUGAAAGCAGGGGAUCUUCGGACCUUGCGCGAUUGAAUGAGCCGAUGUCGGAUUAGCUAGUUGGCGGGGUAAAGGCCCACCAAGGCGACGAUCCGUAGCUGGUCUGAGAGGAUGAUCAGCCACACUGGAACUGAGACACGGUCCAGACUCCUACGGGAGGCAGCAGUGGGGAAUAUUGGACAAUGGGCGCAAGCCUGAUCCAGCCAUACCGCGUGGGUGAAGAAGGCCCUCGGGUUGUAAAGCCCUUUUGUUGGGAAAGAAAAGCAGCAGGUUAAUACCCCGCUGUUCUGACGGUACCCAAAGAAUAAGCACCGGCUAACUUCGUG
rnacentral:rRNA from 1 species